rnacentral:rRNA from 1 species
CCAGGUGUGGAAGCGUUGCAAGGCGUGGAGCUGACUGGUACUAAUACACCGAAGACUUAUACACA